GGGAAUGUAGUUCAGUGGUAGAGUGCUUGUCUAGCAUGCAUGGAGCUCUGGGUUAGAUUCCUCAUUACCA
rnacentral:tRNA from 1 species